UACGUAGGGACCGAGCGUUGUCCGGAUUCAUUGGGCGUAAAGAGCUCGUAGGCGGCCACUCAAGUCGAAUGUGAAACCUCGAGGCUCAACCUCGAGCCUGCAUUCGAUACUGGGCGGCUAGAGUCUGGUAGGGGGAUCUGGAAUUCCUGGUGUAGCGGUGGAAUGCGCAGAUAUCAGGAGGAACACCGGUGGCGAAGGCGGGAUCCUGGGCCAGUACUGACACUCAAGUGCGAAAGCGUGGGGAGCAAACAGG
rnacentral:rRNA from 1 species